UUAACUAUUUCUCUGUAGGGCAUGUUUGCUUAAUUUCUAUGCUGUUUCCAUGCAGUCUUGCCAUUUUUGUCUGCAGGCAGAGUGGGUUUUGUGUAUCAGCAGAGACAGAACUGCAGUGAGGUGCUUUGAUAGCUACACACAGUUUGGCUGCUGGGCCCAAACUCUUCUCCUUGCCAUGCCAAUCUGAGUAGCUAAAUUCUUCCAGGUGGUAAUGAUCAUUUCAGCAGUUGCACUGAACCUGCAGCACCUGUACAUCUUCUCUGGGCAAAGCAGAAGUAGUUUCAGUUGCCGGGAACUUGGAUGAAUUUGACAUUCUUUCUCCUCAUGAACGUGUAGAAUAUUUGACUAGACAUAACAGCAUGCUGGUUAAUGAAGAGGAGUGAUAGCUGUGGGGGGAAGAGAAUAAGGAAAGGGUGCAAAAGCAAUGUUGCUGCAGCACUUUGAUUUCAGAAUUGGGAGGCUGUGUUGCAUUUACAGACUUGUAUGAGGAAAAUAAUAUUUUAUGUUGUAAAGGCCUUUGGUUCCUGCUGUUCACAGAAAACUGCAGAUGGCUGCCUCAGCAGGAAGCCCUUCCCCCUUCCUUAAUGGAACUCGUGGGAAUGCGGGGAUCCUGGAACCGAAGCCCUCCUUCCCUUCCAAACCUCCUCUCCAAACCCCUACUGAGUAAAAGGAAAAAAAUCCCCACAUCCCUGGAAACAUUUUUGCCAGCCUGUUUUUCAGUAAAAACUUAAAUUAACCACUUCACUCCUGAUUAUAAUAAAGAUUUGUUAUUGAAACA
rnacentral:lncRNA from 1 species